UACGUAGGUGGCAAGCGUUGUCCGGAUUUACUGGGCGUAAAGCGUGCGCAGGCGGUGAUGUAAGUCAGGUGUGAAAUCCCCGGGCUUAACCUGGGAACUGCAUUUGCGACUGCAUCGCUGGAGUGCGGCAGAGGGGGAUGGAAUUCCGCGUGUAGCAGUGAAAUGCGUAGAUAUGCGGAGGAACACCGAUGGCGAAGGCAAUCCCCUGGGCCUGCACUGACGCUCAUGCACGAAAGCGUGGGGAGCAAACAGG
rnacentral:rRNA from 1 species